CAGCCGCCGCGGUAAUACGUAGGGGGCGAGCGUUGUCCGAAGUUACUGGGCGUAAAGAGCGCGUAGGCUGGUCUUUAAGUGAGUGGUGAAAGGUUCGGGCUCAACCCGGACACUGCCUUUCAUACUGGGGACCUUGAGUGUGGGAGGGGCGAGUGGAAUGGUCGGUGUAGCGGUGAAAUGCGUAGAUAUCGAUCGGAACACCCAUGGCGAAGGCAGCUCGCUGGACCAUUUCUGACGCUGAUGCACGAAAGCUAGGGGAGCAAAUGGGAUUAGAUACCCCUGUAGUCCCUGUCUCUUAUAC
rnacentral:rRNA from 1 species